GCGAAAGUGGCGGAAUUGGUAGACGCGCUGGAUUUAGGUUCCAGUGGGGCAUCCCGUGAGAGUUCGAGUCUCUCCUUUCGCACCA
rnacentral:tRNA from 1 species